rnacentral:lncRNA from 1 species
CUAAAGUGCGAUGGUUUAUGCUAAAGUACGAUGGUGCCUCACGCUAAAGUGCGAUGGUUGUUUGUUCGCUAAAGUACGAUGGUAUAUUUCACCCUAAUGUGCGAUUGACCAAAAGGGUAAGAUUCGAGGGAUUCAAAAUUAGUGUUAAGGUACAAUGAGGUUAGAAAAUAGUCUUUUUGCAAAAUAUAGUAUGCUAAGGAAUAACAUAUGUCAUUAUAAUUUACU